rnacentral:rRNA from 1 species
CCCAACCCCUGUGAACAUACCACUUGUUGCCUCGGCGGAUCAGCCCGCUCCCGGUAAAACGGGACGGCCCGCCAGAGGACCCCUAAACUCUGUUUCUAUAUGUAACUUCUGAGUAAAACCAUAAAUAAAUCAAAACUUUCAACAACGGAUCUCUUGGUUCUGGCAUCGAUGAAGAACGCAGCAAAAUGCGAUAAGUAAUGUGAAUUGCAGAAUUCAGUGAAUCAUCGAAUCUUUGAACGCACAUUGCGCCCGCCAGUAUUCUGGCGGGCAUGCCUGUUCGAGCGUCAUUUCAACCCUCAAGCACAGCUUGGUGUUGGGACUCGCGUUAAUUCGCGUUCCUCAAAUUGAUUGGCGGUCACGUCGAGCUUCCAUAGCGUAGUAGUAAAACCCUCGUUACUGGUAAUCGUCGCGGCCACGCCGUUAAACCCCAACUUCUGAAUGUUGACCUCGGAUCAGGUAGGAAUACCCGCUGAACUUAAG